rnacentral:rRNA from 1 species
UUCGCAAUGCCCGAAAGGGUGACGAAGCGACGCCGCGUGGGUGAAGAAGGCCUUCGGGUUGUAAAGCCCUGUCAGGAGUUAUGAAAUGUAUGUGCGAUAAUACCGUGCCUAUUUGACAAAGGCUCCAAAGGAAGCCACGGCUAACUCUGUGCCAGCAGCCGCGGUAAUACAGAGGUGGCAAGCGUUGUUCGGAAUUAUUGGGCGUAAAGAGCACGUAGGUGGGUUUGUAAGUCAGAUGUGAAAGCCUUCUGUUCAACGGAAGAAUUGCAUCUGAAACUGCGAGUCUUGAGUGUAGGAGGGGAGAAUGGAACUUCUGGUGGAGCGGUGAAAUGCGUAGAUAUCAGAAGGAACGCCGGCGGCGAAAGCGGUUCUCUGGCCUAUUACUGACACUGAGUGUGCGAAAGCUAGGGGAGCAAACGGGAUUAGAUACCCCGGUAGUCCUAGCCGUAAACGAUGGGCACUAAGUAGAGGGGUUUU